UACGUAGGGUGCAAGCGUUGUCCGGAAUUAUUGGGCGUAAAGAGCUCGUAGGCGGUUUGUUGCGUCGGCUGUGAAAACCUGAGGCUCAACCUCAGGCCUGCAGUCGAUACGAGCAGACUAGAGUGUUGCAGGGGAGACUGGAAUUCCUGGUGUAGCGGUGAAAUGCGCAGAUAUCAGGAGGAACACCGGUGGCGAAGGCGGGUCUCUGGGACGGUACUGACGCUGAGACGCGAAAGCGUGGGGAGCAAACAGG
rnacentral:rRNA from 1 species